AUUGAACGCUGGCGGCAUGCUUUACACAUGCAAGUCGAACGAGUGGCGGACGGGUGAGUAAUGUAUCGGAACGUGCCCAAUAUAGGGGGAUAACUACUAGAAAGAGUGGCUACUACCGCAUACUCUUGGAUCGGCCGAUAUGGGAUUAGCUAGUUGGUGGGGUAAAGGCUCACCAAGGCAACGAUCCGUAGCUGGUCUGAGAGGAAGACCAGCCACACUGGGACUGAGACACGGCCCAGACUCCUACGGGAGGCAGCAGUGGGGAAUUUUGGACAAUGGGCGAAACCCUGAUCCAGCCAUCCCGCGUGUAUGAGAAGGCCUUCGGGUUGUAAAGUACUUUUGGCAGAGAAGCGGUAUCUGCAGAAUAAGCACCGGCUAACUACGUGCCAGCAGCCGCGGUAAUAC
rnacentral:rRNA from 1 species